AGCGAACGCUGGCGGCAGGCCUAACACAUGCAAGUCGAACGAAAUCUUCGGAGUUAGUGGCGGACGGGGGAGUAAGACGUGGGAACGCGCCUUUAGGUUCGGGAUAACUCAGGGAAACGUGUGCUAAUACCGAAUGUGACCUUCGGGGGAAAGAUUUAUCGCCAUUGGUGCGGCCCGCGUCUGCUUAGCUAGUUGGUGAGGUAACGGCUCACCAAGGCGACGAUCAGUAGCUGGACUGAGAGGAUGACCAGCCACACUGGGACUGGGACACGGCCCAGACUCCUACGGGAUGCAGCAGUGGGUAAUCUUGCGCAAUGGGCGGAAGCCUGACGCAGCCAUGCCGCGUGAAUGAUGAAGGUCUUAGGAUUGUAAAAUUCUUUCACCGGGGACGAUAAUGACGGUACCCGGAGAAGAAGCCCCGGCUAACUUCGUG
rnacentral:rRNA from 1 species